rnacentral:rRNA from 1 species
GACGAACGCUGGCGGCGUGCUUAACACAUGCAAGUCGAACGGAAAGGCCCUGCUUUUGUGGGGUGCUCGAGUGGCGAACGGGUGAGUAACACGUGAGUAACCUGCCCUUGACUUUGGGAUAACUUCAGGAAACUGGGGCUAAUACCGGAUAGGAGCUCCUGCUGCAUGGUGGGGGUUGGAAAGUUUCGGCGGUUGGGGAUGGACUCGCGGCUUAUCAGCUUGUUGGUGGGGUAGUGGCUUACCAAGGCUUUGAACGGUAGCCGGCCUGUGAGGGUGACCGGCCACAGUGGGACUGAGAUACGGCCCAGACUCCUACGGGAGGCAGCAGUGGGGAAUAUUGCACAAUGGGCGGAAGCCUGAUGCAGCAACGCCGCGUGCGGGAUGACGGCCUUCGGGUUGUAAACCGCUUUCGCCUGUGACGAAGCGUGAGUGACGGUAAUGGGUAAAGAAGCACCGGCUAACUACGUG